rnacentral:lncRNA from 1 species
UUGGAGAACACUGGGUUAGAGUAACACCAGCUGCUGUAUAAAGAUGGCCUAACCAAAAAAAAAAGUGUUACUUUUUGGGCACACAACAGUCCAAGGCAGAUAUUCUGGGCCUGUGGGCACCUUUCCUCCUUUGGAUUGAUUUUCAUACAUUAGUGUCACUUUGGUCAUUUUUUAGUCUAGUGCUAAGUUUUGAAGUAUAACAAUCUUGCCUAGCAAAAUUUUUCCAAUUUUAUUAUUUCAUUUUUGAUCCAAUCAGAAAAUUCCAGUAUUCAGAAUUUUUCUAAAUUACUGAGUAACUAGAAAUGGGUGACUGUGCUGGCCUUAAGCUUCUUGUGAAUGCUACAGCUCUUAUUUGAAAGCAAGCAGCCCUCCAAGUAGCUAAGCAAUCCCGUAGAAAGGGGGAAGACAAUAUUUAGUAGAUAUGAUUGUUGCCUGGAAUUCUAAAUGUUGUCACCACCUAGCACCACAUACCAAUGUCUGUGAGGGUGUCUAGCAUUGAGGGAGAGGUCAAGGGAUGAGAAUUUGGGAGGAAUUAAUCCUGUGCCCAUAAGAAACAUUCACAUGUAAGACAGGACAAACAGAAUAGAUAAAAGUUCCGAGAGAAGUGAUGCAUACCGACUACAAAAGAGAGGCCCAGGGAGUGGCAUUUUGCUUUUAUUUCUGAGCUGGUACAAACAUUAAGAACUUGGGUGACAGACUCCCUUUCCCACAGAAGGCCUCCUCAAGCUAAGCAAGAAGGUAGCUCACCUGAACUCGUUCUGUUUGUCCCUCAGCCCUGGCUGCCCAGGCCUACGCUCUGAAAGAGGAGAAUGACAGUCUCCGCUGGCAGCUGGAUGCCUACAGGAAUGAGGUGGAGCUGCUGAAACAAGAAAAAGAACAGCUUUUCCGAACAGAAGAAAACCUCACCAAGGACCAGCAACUGCAGUUUCUGCAGCAAACCAUGCAAGGCAUGCAGCAGGUACCUGGCCCAGAUUUUUUUUUUUUUUUUGAGAGAAAGAGAUAUGUGUAUUAAAUGAAAAUGGAAAGGCAGCCGUGUGCUGGAAAGGGUGAAGGAGAAGAAAUGACAACCAAAAAGCUAUGUUACUAGGACAGAAAAGUGCUAAUGACUGUUUGUGGAAGGGUAGAAUCUGGAGAAAAGCCAAGCCAAUAAAAUAUGUUGAAGAAAUCACCCUGGAGGUAGGAAAUAAAGGAAAAUGAUUUGGAUUUAGGAGAUUGAAAGGCUGCAUGUGAAAUAUAGCCCCAUGGCAAAUACCUAG